UCUGUUUUUUUUUUUGUUUGUUUGUUUGUAUUUGUUUUGUUUUUUCCUGUAGGACAUUGUUUUUGUUUUGUUUUUGUGUUUUUGUUUUUUCCUAUAUUAUCGUACACGUCAUUUUUAAAUGUCGUCUGCUCCGCGAAAAGUCGUUUACUCGAAGAACAUGGACAGUACUUAGCGUCGUCCGCAGGCAACAUGCAGGAAUUUAUGGCGCAGCCAUUUUCCUUCCAAUGGAGUAAUGUUUUUAAAAUUCCGGCGGACGCCGGCCAAAAUGGCAGCAGAAACAAGCAAAAACGGGGGAGAGCGCACAUUUUACGGCGCGAGGAGGAAGCCAAUAAUGAGAGACGAAGGCCGAGGAGUUUUUAGCCUGAGUGAGAGCAGAUGUGACAGAGCAGAGAGGCAAACCUUAGUUUCUUUAUGAGGCUAGCGAGGAGGGGAUAGUUGCAGGAACUGAGUAGCCACAAUGGAAUACAUGAAGGAUAUAACAAUACACGUGCGCAUUCGAUGUAAGACACAAAGAAGAAGGUAUGGAGAGAUUGCGAGAAAGACAGACGAGAAAAUAAACAAAAGGCAGAAAGAUUGACACCAUUCGAGACGAUAAGGAAGAAACGAACAUAUAUUAGGUUGGGAGAGAGAGAGACCAAAUAAUAAAAGUAAUAAAAGGAAAAGAUUAAGCUGGCCUCCAUGCUAUAAAUUAAUUACUUAGUGAAUGUUGUCUUGCUGUCAGCAGCAGACCGAUGUCGCAAAAUUGCUUCCUGAUGCUGCAGAAUCGCUAAGUUGAAGGAAACAAACCUAAAGUCGAGGUUCUUUUCCACGAGAACGGGUUUUUACACAGUUUUAAUUUAAAUUUUGUCUUUUUUUUAUUAUCUAGCUUCAUUGUUGUCCGAACUUCUUGUGCUGUCAAUUAUGCUUUGCUCUGGAGGAUUGCCAAGAAAAGAAAGAAUCACAGAAGUGAUGGAGGGGUGAACGGGGAGGGAGAGAUUAAAUUUUCUCUAAUGCUUUUGGCCUUUCACCAUCUGUGCAUUUAAGACGAGAACAAGAUUGGAAGCAUGUGAUGGCCCUCUAAUUAAGUCUUUUCUUGGAAAUUAAGGGUCAGGUUCAUACGGUUAGAUAUUGUGUCUCAUGUCGUCACCAGCAUUUACGAUAAAUAAUCGGGUUAUAUAGUUCUCCUUUCGAGAAAGGUCAAUACAAGAUUGGAAUAAUAAUGAUAUUAAAUAAACGUGGCUUGUAAGGGGUGAGGGACUAAUUCAUUUCUGAGACAUUUAGACAGUGAGAUUACCUGUGAGACCUUCCUGGUCUUCUUUAUUACAAAGCGAGCAGAGCGGUUUCACAAAAGACCUUAAUUUCCUUACUGCAAAACAUACAAUGAGGCUUCAUAUAGGACAAUCCUUUUUUUUUCAAAGUGAACAGUGAGAUGUCAAGAAGUUUUCUUGUAUAUUUUACCCAACUGAGCAUAAGAAUACUUGUCAGUCUUAAAUAUUUUUGUCGUUAUCAACCACAAUUACUGUAAGUGGUAUCAUUGGCGAUCCAGUGUCUAGUCAUUAGGACUGGUUUGUCUUCGUGUAGAUUUUGACAAGGUGUUCACAUUCGAUUGUAAUAAAAGUAAAUGUGCUUAAAUGCAGUUUAAGGUGUAAGACCUUCAUUAUUCUCUGCUCAGUCUCCAAGUAUGUACACUGUGAACAUCACCCUGGAAGUGCACGACAUCCAUGGCAACGUGAGAGCUGAGACAUGGAAGUAGACUUGGUCAACGAGAUUGACAAAUGUCGGAGCCUCAUUUCUUUGAAGAUUAAUGGAAAAAAUCCCUGCUAUCCAUACUAUGGAUAUACACAGAGAAAUACAUGCCUUAAGGUUUAGUUUCUCGCCUGAUAAACCUGUUUCUGCUUAGCAUAAAUGUUUGUGUAACAUUAAUUAUAUUUCAAAUACGAAACACGUCAUUUACAUUAUUAUACUAGCGAUGAAAGAAAAAUUAAAACUCUUGUCUUUUUGCGAUUUAAGGUUUUUUUUUUUUAAACUUGUUAAAGAAAAUGCACUCUUAACACAUUUUUAAAAUUCUGAAUGUAUAUCUAUGUUUGGCCAAGAUUUCUGUUAUGGUCACAUGGGUAGCUUGGAAGCACAUAUGUGGGAAUGUGAUGCCGAGAGAACGAGUCCUGGUAGGACAUGUGAAGAUGUUGAAAUUCGAUGAAAAAAGCAACGACAUAUUCUAAGGAAGAGCACGUUCACCGGUGCAGACAUUAAGGACAAGCUACUGACUUACAUGUAAGAGGGUCUGUUUCCUGAGCCACUGCACCCCGGAGAGAAAUUGGGUAUCCUGCUAUGACGUAAAGGAAUUUAGACGGCGAAGAUAGCUCUCACCACCUAUCUGCCAUGGCCUUAUGUCAAGCACAUUACCAGCGACAAAAACUUUCGGGACCUUCUGAUUUCAUCACCACGAUGUUUCCGACACCAAAAUUACAUCUCGGCUUAGAAUGUGUCCUUUCAAACGAGAUUUAGUCUCAGUCAGUGAAGACGCAUGCAUUAGGAAAAAAAAAAAAAAGAAAUUAAUUUAUACACGGAAGCUUGUCAAGCAGCAUACUGAGCAAAAGGUCUGACCGGAAGAAGAAUGAUGAGCUGUGAGGAAAUAAGACUUGACUGUCGGAAGAUAGAUAUUGGGGGUGACAUGUUCCCUCAGGAUUUGUCGUUUUGUCGUGAUGGAAAGCAUACCGCAGCAACAAAAUUGAAGAUUAUGCGGGAGAGAGAGAGACAGAGACAUAAUGGGCCAGAGAGAGCCAGAGUCCAAUAGACAGAAAGACAGACCGACAAUCAGAGGACUUUCUAAGCGGUUACUGCCUUGAUAAUUGUCGCUGUAUUUCUCGGGGUGUGUAAAUAAAUCCUCUCCAAAGAACUCCUUUCUAGAUGUGUUUGAAACUUCGUGCUUCAGGACCAACGCACACUAUUACAAAUAACAAGUUUUUGUGUAAGUAAUAAUCUUGUUCUUUGAAAUUUACCAAACAUGGAUACUGAACUUCUUUCGUUAAGCGACUUUGACCUGGACCUUUACUACGUGUAACACUUCUCAAAAUGAUUUGCAAUUGAUUGAAUGUUAAUGAUAGCUCAAUGAAUACUAUCUAACAAUAAAAAUUGUGUCAAUUGUCAACUGUGCAUGUUUUUGCAAGAAAUUAAACAAACAGCAUGGCUUCAUCCAUUCUCAAGGUACUGUUUCCUUUGAGAAUGUAUGCUAUGAACUGGAACACCUUUAGGUGUAGUAAAUAGAAACCUAAAAUUCUUGGCGCAGAAACGGGAAGAUUGAAGACAACAGGUAUUUUGACUUAUUGACCAUUUACUUUUACAACAUACGACUACAUUCUUCUUUGGAUACUUGAAUUUUCUCCAGGCUAUGAUGGGUCUGAUUCACUGUGCUUUCUAUGGCUUUGUAAUGAUGAUGAAUGCUACUUUUGAUUCAUGUCAUGCUAAUUCUCUGUAACAUUGCAUUGCCACUUGAGCUAAAUAAACUAAUAUGGUUUAUUGAGUUAUUAAAAAUGUUAUGACAGUCAAAACUUCAUGUGAUACUCUAAACAAAUAUGUAUUCAAAUCCAUGGACAAUGUAAAAGAUUAUGAAGACUUCUUUUUGGCUUUACAGAAGGUCCUCCUACUUUAAGAUCUUCACUAUCGCAUACUUUUGCUUGCAUCUGCAUGUACAUAUCUUUAUAGAGUUUCGCAUUAUUAUGUCUUCCCUUGCCUCUGGAGUUCUGACUAUUUCUUAGCUUAUAAAUAGCUUGUUAAAUGAUAGCUUGUUUGCCCUUUGUAUACUUGAUCAAAUGUUAUCUCUCAAACGAUCUCUUGUGUUGCUAACAAUUGUAAUUGAAGUAAUUAAGAGUGACUUUUUCAUUGGGCUGCUUUGAAGACAGUUUAAAGGAUAUGAUGUCCAACAUUGAAGGGAGUAAAAAUUGCACAUACUUGUAUAACUUCCGUUGCUAAAUAAAAUUUUUCUGAGACA